rnacentral:rRNA from 1 species
CAGCCGCCACGGUAAUACGAAGGGUGCAAGCGUUAAUCGGAAUUACUGGGCGUAAAGGGUGCGUAGGCGGUUGUUUAAGUCAGAUGUGAAAUCCCCGGGCUCAACCUGGGAACUGCAUUUGAGACUGUAUGGCUAGAGUGUGUCAGAGGAUGGUGGAAUUCCCGGUGUAGCGGUGAAAUGCGUAGAGAUCGGGAGGAACAUCAGUGGCGAAGGCGGCCAUCUGGGACAACACUGACGCUGAAGCACGAAAGCGUGGGGAGCAAACAGGAUUAGAUACCCCCGUAGUCCCUGUCUCUUAUAC